GGAGGUUUUCUACCUGGAAGUCCCUUCUUUCUGAAUAUCUGAUGAGCCCUUAUCUUUGUGACAGUAAGAACUUUUUUUGAAUGCUUCACUUUUGGAGAAUAUUAGCUGAUUCAAUUCCAGUAGUUAUGGAAUGCUCAAGCUAAGAUCUUCUACUACAUUUCACAAAGGCUCAGCAAGGAGGCAAGCCAUGACACAGCCUGCCAGCCCAUGCUGAAGCUGUAACUAUGAAGACAGAUGGAAGACAGAAGGAAGAGUAACUAUGAAACAUAUACAAGGACACAUAUCGGAGAGCUGCUUUGGGUAGCUCUUUUGACACUGUCUGUAUUUCUCUGGUCGAUAUCAUUAUGAUCAUGUAAGUUGACUGGAUAUAUAUUUCACAGUAAGAUUUAGAAGUGAGUUCACUCUGAACAUUAUAAAUGCCAUAGAGAAUCAUAGAAUCAUAGAAUCAUUAAGGUUGUAAAGACCAAUAAGAUUAUCUAGUCCAACCAUCAUCAGGCCAUGCCUGUGACCAUUCUACAACAUGUCACUCAGUGUGACAUCUACUCUUUCUUGAAAGCCUUCAAGGACGGUUACUCCACCACCUCAUCCGUAGCACAAUAAUUUAUUUCAUAAUUACCUUUGUUUAUGGUUCAGAGGAGAUUUCAGUACAAAUCGUGGUGUAAGGCAGAGUAGUUAAUAUUAGCCUUCAAUCAAUGGUUUCACUUUUUUGAGUGCUGUAAAAAUAAAUGAGCCAAUCCUGAGUGUUAAUUUUAAUGAAUUACUCAUAUCAUUUAUGUAAAAAGAAUAAAAAUUAUUUAUUGGUUUACAAGCAUCUUAUUGCCUUUCUUUGAAGUAGUGAUCAAUGUAAGUUUAAUUUUAAGCAAUGCAAGUGGAUAAUCUCCAGUGAUGUUUUUACAUGCUUCAAACAGCUCACAGUGCUCUUGCUUUUCUUUCUGCCAGUGACUGUGCAUUUUAAAUGGACUGUUAUUUGCAAUGAUUUUAACAAGAGUGAAUAAAUACCUACAGAAAAU